AUGAUGUUGCAAUACAUUUUGUUGUUCAGAAAUUAAGUAAUUUUUUUAAUACAAUAUCCCGUUUCGGAGCAAGGAUGCAAAGCAGACGCCAUCAUAUUUGGAGAUGUGUCUUCUGCAGCAGUCUACGUUUACUCUAGCACCGCGCAGUAGUACAAAUUGGAGCAGCAGUAGAAGUUUAAAUAAACAUAUUUACAAGAGUUAUAAAACGAAAACUAUGUGUGUAGUGCAGUUAUUAACUCUAGUGCAGUAGUUCUCAUGAGUUUUGUGCAGUUCGGAGUCUUCAAAAACAUAACCAUGAGGUCAGUACAAAGUUGUAGCAGUAAUUGAACAUCGGCCAACAAAGCCAUGAACAUGCGGUGGGAAGAGGCUGACCAUAGGAAGCAGCUUUUUGGAAAAAAUAAAAUAGGGAAAUCAAUUAAACUACGUUGGAUCACCUUCAUGUAGUCACUGGAAAAGCAGAAGUUAUCAUCGAGGGUAGCAACAGCAUAGAAGGCCACUUAUGAUUUGAACGAGAUGAAGAAGCAGUAACCCAAUCGUUGAUAAGUCGAGAGGCAAUUCCUGGAAAAGCUGUACAUCGCGCCCACCUCGCCUGCGUACAUCUGCGGCUAGAAGGAGGCUGUCCAGGCGGCUGUACAGGAAAGCCCAGCCUUAUCAGCUGCGAGUGAAAAGCUGACAGUUCAUCAGUCUCCAGCAACAUCAACUGGACGACUCUCAACAUUUCCUUUUUAUUUGCCAUAGACUCCCAUCGUAUAAAUUUACAGUUUUUGUUUACAAUAUAUUUGUAGUUGCAGGUUCACAAACGGAGAGCAGAUUUAAGAAGCUGACCAUCCAUCGCACUUUCCAAUAACAUCAUCUUGGAGGACUCUCAACUGGAUUGCUAUCUAGCAGGUGUAUUAACAAAAUCAUCGCACGGACGGAGGUUCAUCAGAAGGUUGGAGAGCUUCGGUGCCUUUUAAGGGUUCAAGGGAUGAGCCUCACAGGGAAGGGCGAGGAUUUCCUUUUGCAAUCCAUCCGCAGCCCACUUUCAUACUAGUUAAUCUAUACAUCAGGUUUGCUGUUUACUACUUCAAUAACCUGAUGUCCAUUGGCAAAUAAUUUUAUACUUGUUGUAUUUAAAAAAAAAUGUUUUAAUGUUCUAAUAAAAU
rnacentral:lncRNA from 1 species